GUUUUUUUUCCCCUCUCUUUCCAAUGGGCCCUUCAGUAGGGAAAGCCGGUGUUCCUUCGCGAGGCUAAAGGCAUCCCAGGUUCACACAGACCUCCAGAUGUUCCAAAACUACAACUCCCAGCAUGCCCGACUAUCCCUCCCCACCGGACGGUCCCUGCAGCACAGAUGGACCAAGUGGAGAAACAAUCUGAAGAACAAGAUGUGAGCACAUGUAGAGAAGAUGCCCAGAAGAGCCACUUAGAGGGAAACUCCAAUUCAGUAUGCGCAACGUGUGCCACAGAGAACUUACAGAUAUCUGGGUAGUUGCCCGGCAACAGAUGAAGAAGGGAGCGGAUGACCACUCUGGUACAGAAGGCUGCAAAGAAGAAGAGAUGCCAAGGAGAGCUCUAUUCUCCCAAUACUAAUUGAUGGUGACCGGAGGUGAGCAUUGGGGAUGAUAUUAAGCCAUGGAGAGUAAGAGGAAGGAAGGAAUCAAUGGAAAUAAUCAGAGAAGAAAGGUAGGUAGAUAAUGGAAGAACGAGAAUGAAGGAAGGUGGUAGAGGAAGGAGAACAUCAAUGGAGAGAGUAAUGAUGGAGGAAAUAAAGGCAAAGAAUGGAAGAAGGAGAAGGAAGGAAGGUGGUAGAGAGAAAAAGACAUCAAUGGCGGAAAUCAGGAAAGGAGAAAUAGGACAGAUUGCAGGCAGAGAAUGGAAGGUAUGAGGUAGAAGUAAGGAACGAGGGAAGGAAGAAACAAAAAGUAGGAACACAACAAGUAAGGAAGGGAGGAAGGAAGGAAUGCAAUAAAGCAGGGGAAAAAGUAAUAUGGAAGUAAAAAGAUAGAACGGGAGGUGAAGUAGGUAGGAGAGGUUUAAUGGAAGAAAAGUAAAGCUGAGGAGGCAUGACAAAACAAGAAAGGAGGAAAGGAAGAAGGAAAGGAAGCAAGGAAGGAAAUGUGAAGAAAUAAGGGAAGUAAGGGGUAAGAAAAUAGGGAAGAAAAAAAAUGGAAGAAAGGAAAGGGUGAGAAAAUAAGAGAAGUGAGAAAGAAAGGAUGGAAUGAAGAAAGGAUAGAGAACAGAAAGAUGGACGAAAGAAAGGGAGGAGGAGAGAGAGAGAUGCAAAAGAAGAAAGACAGGGGAAGAAAGGAAGGGAAGAAAGGUGAGCAGACAGUGUCAGGAGGGGAUUGGUUCACAAGGGUGGAACCUACACCCAUCAUGAAUUUCUUUGGAUGGUGUGCCCUGCACAUUGCUAUAGGUACACGCCUGUAACUAAAGUGAAUGAUUUCAUUCUUCUGCUUACUGGAUAGAAUUGUUGGGUAUAAUAUUGUAUCACUCAUUCUAAAAGGAAGAUCACAGGUGGAAACACUUCACCCUAAAGCAGCGUCCCUGUCUAUAGCCAUCCCUAUGUAUCCGUUCAGAUAGUAUUAACUCAUCUGUAGCUUUUGGGUUCUGGUUACCAACAGACAUGAUAGGUGUUAGGGUCACAUCUCCCGGCUCCACUUAAAUCUGCUGGGCCCAUGCUCUAGAGUGCUAUGGAAAGGAUCACAGUGAUUUAUUUAUGCUAUGAAAUAAUGUAAAGCCUCUUUACGAAGACCACCCAAAAGGCAAUAAAGAGUGGUGUUCUCAGAGAAACGGGUCAUAAUGCAUAAUGUCUGAAAAUCUGUUCCAGGAAAUUUGGUCUGGUUAAGGGGGUGGCCUUCUCUCUGUAAAUGAACAUAUCAGAAACAAAGAACAAGAUUGAUACAAUUAAACUCUUUGUAUUUUGUGCCUCCUUCUCGUGACUUCACUUCACCUGCAAAACUUUCAAAGCGUUAAUUUUAAAGCGUGAAUUUAAAUUGCAGAACAUGGAGAUGUGAGCGAUGGAGGGGCUGACACCAGUCACUCACCGUAAUUAUACCAAUCAGUUCGCGCCUUCCUUCCAGGAACAGAGCGAUGAAUAUUUUUUGAUACAAUUAUAUUUUGCUUCACACAGACGUUUUUUCCAGAUAAUGACAUUACCCAAACUCAAUAAAAGAGACUACUCCAAUAAAUUGUCACAUUAUUAGGA